ensembl:lncRNA
AGAACUACACUGUUAUAUCAGGGUGUUGUAACUAAGGCAGUUGGAGUAGACUUGGUAUCUAACCAGAACCAGAACUACACUGUUAUAUUAGUGUGUUGUAACUAAGGCAGUUGGAGUAGACUUGGUAUCUAACCAGAACUACACUGUUAUUAGGGGGUUGUAACCAAUGCAGUUGGAGUAGACUUGGUAUCUAACCAGAACUACACUGUUAUAUCAGGGUGUUGUAACUAAGGCAGUUGGAGUAGACUUGGUAUCUAACCAGAACUACACUGUUAUUAGGGGGUUGUAACCAAGGCAGUUGGAGUAGACUUGGUAUCUAACCAGAACUACACUGUUAUAUCAGGGUGUUGUAACUAAGGCAGUUGGAGUAGACUUGGUAUCUAACCAGAACUACACUGUUAUAUCAGGGUGUUGUAACUAAGGCAGUUGGAGUAGACUUGGUAUCUAACCAGAACUACACUGUUAUAUUAGGGUGUUGUAACUAAGGCAGUUGGAGCAGACUUGGUAUCUAACCAGAACCAGAACUACACUGUUAUAUUAGGGUGUUGUAACUAAGGCAGUUGGAGUAGACUUGGUAUCUAACCAGAACUACACUGUUAUAUUAGGGUGUUGUAACUAAGGCAGUUGGAGUAGACUUGGUAUCUAACCAGAACCAGAACUACACUGUUAUAUCAGGGGGUUGUAACCAAGGCAGUUGGAG